GUGGGGAAUUUUGGACAAUGGGCGCAAGCCUGAUCCAGCAAUGCCGCGUGCAGGAAGAAGGCCUUCGGGUUGUAAACUGCUUUUGUACGGAACGAAACGGUCCUGGCUAAUAUCCGGGGCUAAUGACGGUACCGUAAGAAUAAGCACCGGCUAACUACGUGCCAGCAGCCGCGGUAAUACGUAGGGUGCGAGCGUUAAUCGGAAUUACUGGGCGUAAAGCGUGCGCAGGCGGUGCUGUAAGACAGGCGUGAAAUCCCCGGGCUCAACCUGGGAAUUGCGCUUGUGACUGCAGUGCUGGAGUGCGGCAGAGGGGGAUGGAAUUCCGCGUGUAGCAGUGAAAUGCGUAGAUAUGCGGAGGAACACCGAUGGCGAAGGCAAUCCCCUGGGCCUGCACUGACGCUCAUGCACGAAAGCGUGGGGAGCAAACAGGAUUAGAAACCCUUGUAGUCC
rnacentral:rRNA from 1 species